rnacentral:rRNA from 1 species
AACGAACGCUGGCGGCAUGCCUAACACAUGCAAGUCGAACGAGACCUUCGGGUCUAGUGGCGCACGGGUGCGUAACGCGGGGGAACCUGCCCUUAGGUUCGGAAUAACUCCCCGAGAGGGGUGCUAAUACCGGAUAAUGUCUUCGGACCAAAGAUUUAUCGCCUUUGGAUGGGCCCGCGUUGGAUUAGCUGGUUGGUAGGGUAAAAGCCUACCAAGGCGACGAUCCAUAGCUGGUCUGAGAGGAUGAUCAGCCACACUGGGACUGAGACACGGCCCAGACUCCUACGGGAGGGAGGAGUGGGGAAUAUUGGACAAUGGGCGAAAGCCUGAUCCAGCAAUGCCGCGUGAGUGAUGAAGGCCUUAGGGUUGUAAAGCUCUUUUACCCGGGAUGAUAAUGACAGUACCGGGUGAAUAAGCACCGGCUAACUCCGUG